UACGGAGGGUGCAAGCGUUAUCCGGAUUCACUGGGUUUAAAGGGUGCGUAGGUGGGCAGGUAAGUCAGCGGUGAAAUCCCCGAGCUUAACUUGGGAACUGCCAUUGAUACUAUCUGUCUUGAAUACCUUGGAGGUGAGCGGAAUAUGUCAUGUAGCGGUGAAAUGCGUAGAGAUCGGAAGGAACGUCGAUGGCGAAGGCAGCCACCUGGCUUGAUACUGACGCUGAAGCGCGAAAGCGUGGGGAGCGAACAGG
rnacentral:rRNA from 1 species